UACAGAGUGAGUCCCAGGACAGCCAGGGU
rnacentral:piRNA from 1 species